UUCCUGGGUAUUGGAGCUACUCCGCGUAAAUAAACAAAAACAAAAAAAACAACAACCAGAAAACAAAACAAACAAACAAAAACAACAACAACAAAACCCAACAUCGAACUAACAAAACACCAGUUUUAGCUGUUCUGCUUAACGUCUACGUACAUAAAAUGUGAAAAACGCCUCUUUCACACUUCUAGAUAUUGAGCUUUUGAUGAUGAUUUAAUUUCUGAGAGAUGGUUGUCCAGUUUGGGCGCAAGCUAAGGGGUAAUAUAGCGGUACCUUGUGCCUCUGUGCUCGUCUGUGUGUCGCUGGAGUCGGGUUCUGAGGGUGUCUACCUGUGGGCGAUGGUCAGUUGUGGAAAACGACUGGCUGUUUGUAGAUUCUAGAAUAUAGAAGAGAGGACAGUCCUAUUUCUGGAUUUGAUAAUCUAAGGAGGUUUAUUUCUGUGUGGAGAGAUUAAAAAGGAAAAAAAAAAUCCUACGUAGAUUCCUGACAAUCUUGCUGGACAAAAUCGAAAAGAACAAAACAAAACAGUAUCAAACGAGGAA